CCUACGGGAGGCAGCAGUGAGGAAUAUUGGACAAUGGGCGCAAGCCUGAUCCAGCCAUGCCGCGUGCAGGAAGAAGCAUCUAUGGUGUGUAAACUGCUUUUGUACAGGAAGAAACACUCCCUCGUGAGGGAGCUUGACGGUACUGUAAGAAUAAGGACCGGCUAACUCCGUGCCAGCAGCCGCGGUGAUACGGAGGGUCCAAGCGUUAUCCGGAAUCAUUGGGUUUAAAGGGUCCGUAGGCGGUUUAAUAAGUCAGUGGUGAAAUCUGGUCGCUCAACGAUCAAACGGCCAUUGAUACUGUUAGACUUGAAUUAUAAGGAAGUAACUAGAAUAUGUAGUGUAGCGGUGAAAUGCUUAGAUAUUACAUGGAAUACCAAUUGCGAAGGCAGGUUACUACUUAUGGAUUGACGCUGAUGGACGAAAGCGUGGGGAGCGAACAGGAUUAGAUACCCUGGUAGUCCACGCCGUAAACGAUGGAUACUAGCUGUUCGGAGCAAUCUGAGUGGCUAAGCGAAAGUGAUAAGUAUCCCACCUGGGGAGUACGUUCGCAAGAAUGAAACUUAAAGGAAUUGACGG
rnacentral:rRNA from 1 species